GGGAGGGCGCGGGCUUGAGGCUGCACAUGCAGUUGUGAUGACGAGAGUGUGAGAUGUGUGUAGUGUAGUGUGUUGCAUGCUCACCAGCAGGUCAGCGGGCGGCGCGUCGUGGUGCGGGGAGGGCGCGGGCUUGAGGCUGCACAUGCAGUUGUGAUGACGAGAGUGUGAGAUGUGUGUAGUGUAGUGUGUUGCAUGCUCACCAGCAGGUCAGCGGGCGGCGCGUCGUGGUGCGGGGAGGGCGCGGGCUUGAGGCUGCACAUGCAGUUGUG